rnacentral:rRNA from 1 species
UACGAAGGGGGCUAGCGUUGUUCGGAAUCACUGGGCGUAAAGCGCACGUAGGCGGAUCGUUAAGUCGGGGGUGAAAGCCCAGGGCUCAACCCUGGAAUAGCCUCCGAUACUGGCGGUCUUGAGUCCGAGAGAGGUGAGUGGAACUCCGAGUGUAGAGGUGAAAUUCGUAGAUAUUCGGAAGAACACCAGUGGCGAAGGCGGCUCACUGGCUCGGUACUGACGCUGAGGUGCGAAAGCGUGGGGAGCAAACAGG